AAUAUUUUCCCCAAAAUCACAUGGAUGCUAGAGACCCAGUCGGCGCACUCUCUUGUAGAUCCGCAUUUGUGCAAGAUCCAUCUUCUUGAGAUAGGGUCGAUCAAUCAAAUAAAAUCAAUCUAAUGUCAUCAAUCCAAUCAAAUUCAAAUUCAAAAUCUGAAUUGAAUAUUAUAAUAAAAUAAAAUAAAGAAUCGAAUUUCUACACUUUUAAUAAAGAAAUAUUUCCUAAGGUCACAAUUAUAUUCAACCUUGAAUAUUCAGAAAUUAAAUUUAAUAGUGAUUGUGACUAAUUGUCGUUUUUUUUAGGUAAAUCCAAAUAAAUAAACAAGAAGAUUCCUUCCCUUAUUUUUAUAGUUUAAAUUCAAUCAAUCAAAAGGAAAUGUUUACUUAAGUUUUGGAUUUUUUCACUUAUAUACAAAUUUUCUAACUUAAUUUCCAAAUCAUAAUAGUCAAAAGUCGAUAUUUCCAAAAGUCACCAUUAUUGACUUUAAUCAAUCUCAUUUACCAAAAGUUGCCAAUUAUUUCAUGAUUUUUACUUCUUAGUUUGAGAUAAUUUAAUCAAUACAAGUAAUUUAAAGUAAUAUUAAAAUACACUCAAGUUUCCGCACCUGAAAUUGAGUGCGGACGUGCAGAACGACAUUACUGUUCCGCGACUACCUCGCGGAAUCGUGGAAUUUGAACCACGAUUUACCUCCACUCGUGGACGGAACUCCACUCGCGAACUUCAACCGCGAUGACGGAACCGUGAUUCUGUGAUGAUGGAACUCCACUCGAGACGGACGGCGAGAUCGGAUGACGUGCGACAUGGACGGUGAGAUCGGAUGUCCACACCGAGUCAUGAUGCGGAAGUACAACACCAAAAACGUGUCCUAUUAAAAUAAAGCUAGGAGGCAAUCCAAAUCUUGAGGUCGUUUUUCAAAUCAAAUGGAUGGUCAGGAUGAAAUAUCUCAUUUUAUUUUAUCACAAAUUAUCUUAUGAGAAUCAAACUCUAUAAAUAUUUAGUAAUUAUCCACAAACACGUACUUUGGAAAUGGAGUUUAAAAUGACAAAAACAUUUUUCAUCAUUAUCUCAAUAUCUCUUAUAUACCAUUAUGAUAAAUAUUGCAUUCACCCC
rnacentral:lncRNA from 1 species